AUACAAAUGUUUCACGCUUUCAUUCACAUAUUUCUAGUAUUUUAUUAUAUAUUUAUAGGUUAUUGGAUAGAAAAUUGUUUGACAGCAACUGAUUAUAUGAAAGUAAGUUUAUUGAAUAUUUGAAUUAAUUUCCAAAGUUCUAUGUUGUUAUAGUUCAAAAGGUAAAAAUCAAGCGUAGUGAAAAUUUCGCGGAGUUGGCAAAAGACUUCCAAAAUAUAUUUAAAAUAUGAAUAUGAUUUUUGAAAAAGUACAGAAACUUAUGCACCGAGUCAUUACAAAUGGAAACAAAUGUAAUAACGAAAUACAUUUUCACGUGGUCAUACUCUAAUAUAGGCCAAUCCACAGUUGUAUAAAGAAUUUUUGAUCUAAGGUCGGACAAAAUGUUUUUCUAUUUACUAUAUACAUAUAUGCGAAUACUUAAAUACAAUAGUAAAAUAUAUAGAAAACAUAAAACAAGCAAUGUAGUUAACAAAAGAAAUCUGUGUCGCCCCUGUUUCAAUCAAUCUUACAGAAGAGCAGUUCUGUGUUUUAUUGUAAAACAUUAUCACCAAAAGAUUAUUAUUUUACAUUAGAAAGAUAUCAUUUUAUGAAUAAUACCUCCUUCCAUGAUUUGGGCUCGGAGGAUUUAAUUACUGUUGAGAAAAUGUACAAUCGAAAGUAUUUCUGGUAUUUCCUCAGUCUCUUCUUAAGGGAGGGGUCUUGAUUUCAGCGCAAAAAAAAAAACACUUUUUUUGUGAUUUUUUAUCUCAAAUAUCGAUUAAGCAAUUUUAUUCAAACCUUCUAUACAUUAUUGAGCAUAGUUUUGAAUAUGUUCUGUAAAUUUUUCAUGCAAAAAUAUUAAACCAUUAGCCCGUGAAAGAGCUUCCACUAGGACGUCUUGAAAAAAAAAACAAUUUGCGGUGUUCACUGUAACUCGGCCGGAAAUUAUCCGAAAAUGAAAAACCAUAAAUAUUUAGUUAAUUUUCAAACAAAUCUUCCCACCAACGUUCUCUGAUUAUUUUAAUUAAAUUAAUGAUAUUUCCUAUUAAAAACGUGAAUGAUUUAGCAUCUACAGAAUCCUUGCUUUUGAAUAAGCCUGAGGCAGAAAUUGUGGCGUAUCUGAAGCAAAAAUUUCCAAAGAGACCCCUAUCAAAAAUUUUGGAUGAAGUGAUUGCGGAGAAGAAGAAGAAGAAUUAUGCACUUUUCAAUAAAUUUCUUUACGAGGCCUUAAAAAAUGAUUACUCAUACCCUGAUUUUGAGGCAAAGAUCAAAAAGGCGUUUCUCAAAUGUAAGGCUCAGUUCUACAGGAACACUUAUAAUAUAAAAAAACAAUAGAUUUCAUGUACAUUCAUUUAAUUAGAAAACUUUAAUAAAAUAUAAAAUUAUAAAAAUUUGUUUUUGUUAAAGUACUUGCAGAUUGAAAAUAAUAUAGGAUUUAUCAUAGAGAUCUCCUAGAGCAGUAAUCAUAGAGAUCUCCAUUAGGAAGUUAAAAGGGGUACUCGCGUUCCAAUGACAUGCAAUGUUAAAAACGAGUAUACAAUUUUACGUGUAUUUACACACGAGUAUUAGGAGUAAUAGGGAGUAUAGGAUAUCUACUAAAGGAUUAAUCCAGGAGGUUUCAAACGAUCAUCCUAAAAUCUGCUGGGUUUGUGCAAAAAAGUUGUAAGUGAAUCGUCAUGCUUUGUAGUUAGCAUUAAUACAUCGCGUUUGUCUUUCCACUUUAGUACUACUAUUUUAUUUUCGUUCUGUAGGGAUAUUAUUUCGCCCUUUUUAUACUCUCGCAACAAAUGUUGCUAAAGAGAGUAUUAUAGUUUUGUUCACAUAACGGUUGUUUGUAACACCCAAAACUAAACGAGUUAGAUAUAGGGUUAUAUAUACCAAAGUGAUCAGGGUGAAGAGUGGAGUUCAAAUCCGAAUGUCUGUCUGUCCGUCCGUCCAUCCGUCCGUCCGUCUGUGCAAGCUGUAACUUGAGUAAAAAUUAAGAUAUCUUGAUGAAACUUGGCACACUUAUUUCUUGGCACCAUAGGAAGGUUGCUUUCGAAAAUGAGCAAAAUCGGACCACUGCCACGCCCACAAAAUGGUGAAAACCGAAAACACAUAAAGUGCCAUAACUAAGCCAUAAAUAAAGCUAUGGAAAUAAAAUUUGGUAUGAAGGAUCGUACUAUGAAGGGGCAUAUUUGGAUGUAAUUUUUUUGGGGAAGUGGGCGUGGCCCCGCCCCCUACUAAGUUUUUUAUACAUAUCUCGCAAACCAAUAGAGCUAUAUAAACCAAAUUUUCUGCAGUCGUUUUUUUUAACCACUUCCUAAUACAGUCCAAAAAUGAAAGAAAUCGGAUCAUAACCACGCCCACCUCCCAUACAAAAGUUAGGUUGAAAAUUACUAAAAGUGGGUUAACUCACUAACGAAAAACGUCAGAAACACUAAAGAAAUGGAAGAUGAAAGCAGCACUCACUUAUGGGUCAAAAACCAUAUCUCAGGAACUACUCGACCGAUUUCAAUGAAAAUUGGUUUGUAAUAGUUUCCUUACCUCCCAAUCAUAUGUUGUGAAAAUUGGCCAAAUCGCUUCACAACUACGCCUACUUCCUAUAUACCAGAACUUUGAAGACAAUCUGAAUCGUUUACUUUACAAUAUAUAAAGUAAGUACUAGUGAAGAUAUCGGUGCAGAACUUUGCACAAAUACUAUGUUAAUAGUGUGGCAGCCCCAUUCUAAAAAUCGCCGAAAUCGGACCAUAGGUUUUUAAGGCCCCAUAUAUCGAACACGAGGACCUCGGUGCUUCUAACCUCAUAUUAGAGUUUCCAACUUUCAAUGGACUUUAUACAAUAUAUAUGACGAAUAUAUAUAUAUAUAUAUAUUUGGCGUAGGAACCGCUUUAAGCGAUUAUAGCCGAAUCCACCAGAGCGCGCACCUCAUUCCUCCUU